rnacentral:sRNA from 1 species
UGGCUCACAUGUGAGUUCAAGAACAGCUCCAAGCUGGUCUUAUGGGGCCUACUCUUAGCCAAUGGAAUACUUUUAUUUUUGUAAUAAAGAAAAAAUGUGGUAAAUGGAGAUUGAUACAAGAUCUCAGAGCAAUUAAUUGGACAAUGGAGUUUAUGGAUACUUUACAGCCUGGACUUCCUUCUCCUACAGCUAUUCCUCUUAAUCAUCAAUUAAUAGUAAUAGAUUUAUAGGAUUGUUUUUUCACUAUACCUUUACCUCCAGCUGAUUGUGAGUGAUUUUCAUUUAG